GGGAUUGCCUUAGUAACGGCGAGUGAAGCGGCAAUAGCUCAAAUUUGAAAGCUGGCCCCUUUGGGGUCCGCGUUGUAAUUUGUAGAGGAUGAUUCGGCGAGGGCUCCCGUCUAAGUCCCCUGGAACGGGGCGUCAUAGAGGGUGAGAAUCCCGUAUGUGAUGGGUUGCCUUAGCCAUGUGAAUCUCCUUCGACGAGUCGAGUUGUUUGGGAAUGCAGCUCUAAAUGGGAGGUAAAUUUCUUCUAAAGCUAAAUACCGGCCAGAGACCGAUAGCGCACAAGUAGAGUGAUCGAAAGAUGAAAAGCACUUUGGAAAGAGAGUUAAAAAGUACGUGAAAUUGUUGAAAGGGAAGCGCUUGCAGCCAGACUUGUCCGCAGUUGCUCAGCCGGUCUCCUGACCGGCGUACUCUUCUGCGGCCAGGCCAGCAUCAGUUCGGGCGGUCGGAUAAAGACCUCGGGAAUGUAGCUCCUCUCGGGGAGUGUUAUAGCCCGGGGUGGAAUGCGGCCAGCCUGGACUGAGGAUCUCGCUUCGGCUAGGAUGCUGGCGUAAUGGCUGUAAGCGGCCCGUCUUGAAACACGGACCAAGGAGUCUAACAUCUAUGCGAGUGUUUGGGUGUCAAACCCAUACGCGUAAUGAAAGUGAACGGAGGUGGGAACCCUCACGGGUGCACCAUCGACCGAUCCUGAUGUCUUCGGAUGGAUUUGAGUAUGAGCAUAGCUGUUGGGACCCGAAAGAUGGUGAACUAUGCCUGAAUAGGGUGAAGCCAGAGGAAACUCUGGUGGAGGCUCGCAGCGGUUCUGACGUGCAAAUCGAUCGUCAAAUUUGGGUAUAGGGGCGAAAG
rnacentral:rRNA from 1 species